GCAUCCCCUUUCCUUACUCAACACGGGAAGGAUUUGGUAGCUAUGCAAUGUUAGGUUGUUUUAAUAUAAUCUUUUUUGAUUUUUAGUAUUCAGUAGGGGGAGGGGGCAGUUUGGGGUAUUCAAAAAGAAAGAAAAUUUACAAAAUUAAGUUACAGAGAAAUGAACAGAGUUCUUACAUUAUGACAUGAUGGACCCACAUCUUUACAUUAUCAGGGAUUUAAAAAACAUUUCAAAGAAAAAGACAAAAUUGCUCUGUAAUAAUAAUACUUGACAUUUGUAUAAUCCUUUAUAGUUUACAAAGUGCUUUGAACUAUGCAUUAUUUUGUUUGCUCACUGUAGAAACUCAUACUUUUCAAAAGCAACUGUGAGGUUUCAUUGCAGUGGAGGUGCAUGAUGUGGAGAUUUAACCUACAGGAUGCCUUUUAGGUGCAACUUGGCCAUCUUCUUAUUCUUCUGAAAAAGCACAUUGCCCAACAUGAACUAAGGUUUAUAGAUGCCAAAUAUUACAAAAGAAUGGAAAACAAUCUGCUGGCAAACAGGGCAUUUUAGAAUUUUCCACUCAUCUCCCAUUUACUACUUAGGAGUUGAUAGUUA
rnacentral:lncRNA from 1 species